rnacentral:rRNA from 1 species
GGGACACGUGGUAUCCUGUCUGAAUAUGGGGGGACCAUCCUCCAAGGCUAAAUACUCCUGACUGACCGAUAGUGAACCAGUACCGUGAGGGAAAGGCGAAAAGAACCCCGGCGAGGGGAGUGAAAAAGAACCUGAAACCGUGUACGUACAAGCAGUGGGAGCACCUUCGGGUGUGACUGCGUACCUUUUGUAUAAUGGGUCAGCGACUUAUAUUCUGUAGCAAGGUUAACCGUAUAGGGGAGCCGCAGGGAAACCGAGUCUUAACUGGGCGUUAAGUUGCAGGGUAUAGACCCGAAACCCGGUGAUCUAGCCAUGGGCAGGUUGAAGGUUGGGUAACACUAACUGGAGGACCGAACCGACUAAUGUUGAAAAAUUAGCGGAUGACUUGUGGCUGGGGGUGAAAGGCCAAUCAAACCGGGAGAUAGCUGGUUCUCCCCGAAAGCUAUUUAGGUAGCGCCUCGUGAACUCAUCUUCGGGGGUAGAGCACUGUUUCGGCUAGGGGGUCAUCCCGACUUACCAACCCGAUGCAAACUACGAAUACCGAAGAAUGUUAUCACGGGAGACACACGGCGGGUGCUAACGUCCGUCGUGGAGAGGGAAACAACCCAGACCGCCAGCUAAGGUCCCAAAGUCAUGGUUAAGUGGGAAACGAUGUGGGAAGGCACAGACAGCCAGGAUGUUGGCUUAGAAGCAGCCAUCAUUUAAAGAAAGCGUAAUAGCUCACUGGUCGAGUCGGCCUGCGCGGAAGAUGUAACGGGGCUAAACCAUGCACCGAAGCUGCGGCAGCGACACUAUGUGUUGUUGGGUAGGGGAGCGUUCUGUAAGCCUGCGAAGGUGUGCUGUGAGGCAUGCUGGAGGUAUCAGAAGUGCGAAUGCUGACAUAAGUAACGAUAAAGCGGGUGAAAAGCCCGCUCGCCGGAAGACCAAGGGUUCCUGUCCAACGUUAAUCGGGGCAGGGUGAGUCGACCCCUAAGGCGAGGCCGAAAGGCGUAGUCGAUGGGAAACAGGUUAAUAUUCCUGUACUUGGUGUUACUGCGAAGGGGGGACGGAGAAGGCUAUGUUAGCCGGGCGACGGUUGUCCCG